UACGUAGGGUGCGAGCGUUGUCCGGAAUUACUGGGCGUAAAGAGCUCGUAGGUGGUUUGUCGCGUUGUUCGUGAAAACCUGAGGCUUAACCUCGGGUCUGCAGUCGAUACGAGCAAACUAGAGUGUUGCAGGGGAGACUGGAAUUCCUGGUGUAGCGGUGAAAUGCGCAGAUAUCAGGAGGAACACCGGUGGCGAAGGCGGGUCUCUGGGCAACAACUGACGCUGAGGAGCGAAAGCGUGGGGAGCGAACAGG
rnacentral:rRNA from 1 species